AUUGAACGCUAGCGGCAUGCUUUACACAUGCAAGUCGAACGAGUGGCGGACGGGUGAGUAAUAUAUCGGAACCUUCCCAGUAGCGGGGGAUAACUACUUGAAAGAGUGUCUAAUACCGCCUACCAUUGGAGCGGCCGAUAUCGGAUUAGCUAGUUGGUGGGUUAAAGGCUCACCAAGGCAACGAUCCGUAGCUGGUUUGCGAGGACGACCAGCCACACUGGAAGUGAGACACGGCCCAGACUCCUACGGAAGGCAGUAGUGGGGAAUUUUGGACAAGGGGGGAAACCCUGAGCAAGCAAUCCCGCGUGUAUGAGAAGGCCUUCGGUUUUUAAAGUACUUUUAGCGGGGAGGCGGUACCUGCAGAAUAAGCACCGGCUAACUACGUGCCAGCAGCCGCGGUAAUAC
rnacentral:rRNA from 1 species